AAAACUGGAUAUUCAGCUUAUCUCUUUUGUGCGCUGGUCAGCGAGCUUCCUCUCCUGGGCAAGUCCCGUGAUGUAUCAGCGCAGGCACUAAUCUUUGUUCCACUGAGCGCGAUUGGAAGUAGAAUGUUUGAGAUAGCUUGGAUUGCUUAGUCAGACUGCCGAAUUCACCUUUGACACCCCUUCGCUAUUGUGCCACAGUGAUAUUAAAUUGAACGUUUGAAGGAAGCAUAUUGUAGAGAAUGAAUUAAAAGGGAUAGCAAAUAAUGUUUAAGUUGUCACAUGAUUAAGAAUACAUUAAAUUCAUUUUACUAAAAAUAGAGAUUUUGAAUUGUAAGUACAUCUUAUUACAAAUCAAAUGACAAUUGUUUAUAAAUAAGGCCGAUGUUUUAGAUAUCUAAUGUAAGAAAAGAGCACACUUAUUGUAAUUUAGCUAUCCUAUGUUUCAAAGAAAAAAUAAGAGGAAAAUAACUUUUAUUUCUGAUUUUGAUCUAAGCAAUGGUGAUAAUGUGAUAUGAUUUCAUUAUCAGACAGAUUCAACUAGUUGUUUCUUACUUUCCCCAUAAUUUUGUCAUUUUUUAUGUUGCUGGGUAAUUGUAAAUUAUUCUUAGAUUUUCUGGAAAUACUUAUUUUACAUUCCACAUCAGUCAAUUUGUGUUAUCAUUGAUGUCUUAGAUAAUAACAUUAGAAGCUUGCCUGACAUAAUCUACUCCUGUCCAGUGCUGCUUUUUGUGUCACUAAUACCUUGACCACAUUUGCCCUACGGCGGCCAAAUGGCAAGUCAAAAACAGCCAUUUUAUUCAUUUUUAUUCACACUACCUACAUUGAGCUGGUUAAAAAUGGCUGUUUUUGACUGUUAAAACGACUGUUUUUGACUUGCUGUACGGUUGUCGUAUAUAGAGCAAAUGGGACCAAGGUAUAACUGACAUGUUUAGGCAUGAAUUAUUCCAUCUUGAAACAGAUUAUUUUCAUUUUGUUAUUAAACAAAUAUAUAAAAUAGUGAAUUUGAUGAACAUAACAAAGUCUUAGUUAAAUGAUAUGCUGUUUUUCAUACCAUUCACUGUCUAUGUAUUAUUCUUAUUACGGUAGGCUUAUGUCUAUUUUAACUUCAUAUUUUGCACAUCUAUGAGUUGCAAUUUUCUGCGUUACUGUUACGGUUCCUCUUUGAAAUUGGUCGUAUUUCAAGGAUAUUCACUUAUUUACUAUUUCCCUCAAUAAAUGAUAGAAUGAAAAUAUGAUAUUAGAAAAUGAAUGAAAGGAAAUACUAAGCCCCAAGUCGUAAGAGCCUCAGAUGAUAGUGCUUUGUAAAUACUUUGUGUAAAUAUACUGUUAAUCCAUUGUUUAUAUAAUAAUCCAGAUGUAUUUGCUUAUUUGAUAAUUUGAUGUACAUGGUAUUGGGGAACGUUGGUUAUGUGUUCAUUCAUGUAAAUCAAUCAUGUUCAGAGUGAUAGAAUUGCCCGGGAGGAAUGCAAAUGAGAAAUACCAAGUUUAAAAAUGCCUUUUUCGCAAACAAUGCUUAGUACUUUCUUAGUGCUUUGCGGUUAUUGUCGUAGAUACAAUUAUCAUAAUAAUCAUAUCAAUGGUAGUUAAUUAUUGAUGAAAUUAAUAUGCAGCAUUAUAACAAUCCUUUUAUUUAUUUUUAUUUUGGAAAAGAUUAUCUUUGAGGAGUGAGAAAUUUUGGGGGUGAUAUGUGAUUUUUGGUCAUUUCAAGUGGGCCCAAAAUUCAUAUUUGUUAUUUUGUCAUGUGUGCUUGAUGUCUAUUGUACAUGUACUUUGUCCACUCUUUACAGCGCGAAAAAAAUGUAAUGUAAGUUACUUUGAUUUGUCAAAACAUUUUAUGCUUUUAUUCAAAGGCUUUACAUUGCAUUCCUUCUCCUUUAGGUUAGAUCAUAUUUUUUUUUGCUAGAAGGUCUUUUGAAUGAUAUCUUCCCAUUUGUAUUAUGUUUAUUUAAGUUAUUCGUACAAAGAUAUUCCCGGGCUAUCACCAGGUGGAUGUGCAUUACAUGUGUUUCUAGUUCAUGCCAUUUUUGUCAAAAUGUGGAGCAGAUUAGCCAUAUGUUACUAAAACAAAUCUCUGCAAGAUUUUCAUUUGGUUUGCACUUUCUUAAAAGCAGAUGGACAAUCGGACAUAUUAGAUAAUUUUAGAGGAUGGAAAAAAAAUAAAAAAAUUACAAUACUGGUGUAAACCCAAGCAGUGAAUCUAUUUUUUUUGGGGGGAGGGGUGAAAUAUUGUUUAAUCUCACUUGAAUAGUAUGACGUUAUAUAUUCACACCCAUAAUAGAAACAUACUACUUGUAUAGCUCAAAUUACAUUAUGAUAUAAUGUCCCUUUGCGUUUCCAAUUGGACUUGGGUAUUAAAACCCUGCACUGGUGUACCGAUGGGGGGGGGGUUCAUUGCCGAAAAUCAUAAAGGAAAGGGAUAAGGGUGAAAUAUAUUAUUUUCUGAAUAUUAUCUCAAAAUCUAUUACAAAUUUUUACUAUUGUACGCCCUAA